rnacentral:rRNA from 1 species
AACGUAGGGGACAAGCGUUAUCCGGAUUUACUGGGCGUAAAGCGCCCGUAGGCGGCCUGACAAGUUGGACGUGAAAGCUCCUGGCUUAACUGGGAGAGGCCGUUCAAAACUGUCAAGCUAGAGUCUGGAAGAGGAGAGCGGAAUUCCCGGUGUAGUGGUGGAAUGCGUAGAUAUCUGGAGGAAUACCGGUGGCGAAGGCGGCAUCCUGGACCGGCAUUGACGCUGAUGAGCGAAAGCUAGGGGAGCAAACGGG